UCUGGGCUCUCUCUUUUCCGAUUGAGGAGUGUACUUUGCAUCCUCGCUACCUCUAUCUCCACAUAACAGAAACGGCGGCGUCCUCCUUUUCUCUUUCUCACCGGUAAGCCGUAAUUUAUCUUUUUCUGGCCGCUGCCAACUGCUCUAUCUCCACUUCGAGAUCGAGAUUUUAUCACUUGGCUCUCUCUCUUUCUCGUUUUUUAAUUUCCAGGGUUUCGAAUCUCUAUCUUUUAUAUCCCUUUGAUUUUCGAGCAAGUUUGGAACUUAAUAUAUUAUUUUUAGGGGAUUCGAAUUGAUGUUUUUUACCUCUUUAAUGCUUAGCUUUUGUGCUGCUUUGGGGUUUCAAAUUACUUGCCUUAGGGUUAGGUAAUUUAGUUUUCGUGAAUUUGGGAUACCUUGAAAAAAGUGGCGGGAUUAGGGUUUUAUAGGCGUGAAUAAAGGGUAGUUGGAUUGCAAUUAGGGUUUUGUAUUGUGAAGCUUUGAGUUUUGGAUAUAUGGCCGCUGGGAGACACGGGGGUUAUCACGAUAAUGAAUUCAAGGACCGGGAGUCUGAUUUUGAACUAUUAAAAGAGGAUUUUGCUUAUUCCAAGGAUCAAUAUGAUAGAAUUGGGAAUGGUAAUGCAGAAAAUGAUAGGGGUCAAGUUCAUCACUUAAGAGAUAGCGCUAGGGUUAGGCAGAAGGAUAUUAAGGAGAUGGGCGUGACUAAUGGUGGGUAUCGGUCCUCUUCCAGCAGGAGUGAUUCAGGAAGUAGUGGUGGUGGUGGUGCCCUAAGGUCACGGAGGUGUGGGUUUUCUGUCAGGGCCACUGAUAAGGAGCCAGGUGAGUUGUCCAGUGAGAGUGGGUCUGAUGAUGCCAUUGACCCUGAGUCACAUGCUCAUAAAGAUAGUGAGGUUUUGAAAGUAACACCAUUGGAGAAGAAGAGGAAGUUUUCUCCUGUAGUUUGGGAUAGAGAUGAUAAAGCUACCAGUAGCUUAUCAAAAAGUUGGAGUUCCCCUGCAGCGGCCGCUCUCCCUCCACCGCCACCCCUGCCUAAGGCAUACCGCCAGUCACCUAAUGUUAUUCCAGAUGGAGGUGUAGAGAUUUCUCCUGUUAUAAGCAGUAAAAACCUGACUCUGCAGUCUUCUUCACCACUGAAGGGUUCGGUGGUUAAAGGGUCAGUUGGCAAUUCUGCACCUGAGUCUUCGAUAGAGUUGGCUUCCUCACCAGUGGAGGAGCAAUGGGGUAAUGACCAGGAAGCACAGCACAUAGAAGAUGAAGAUUAUGCUCCAAUGAGGAAUAUAUCAUCUUCACGAUGGGCAGAUGGGAACAAUUCUCCUGUUGACGAGGGUGAAAUUGUGGAGGAUCAAGAAGUUCCUAAAAGAAGGAAGAAGAUGCCUUGUUUGGAGUCCUUGGAUUUCAGAGUACGCAACAAGUCAUCGACGCCUGAUCCGGGGGAUCUUAAAAGAGAAGGAUCUGACGCAGCUAGAGGGAGGUCAUCUGAAUCUGAUGAGCGAGGCACCUGUGCUAGGUCUUCAAGUGGGGAUGAUCAUCCUGGUAAUGAUUCUGGGAGGGACGACUACAUGGAAAUUGAUGACAAACAUGAUAACAAUGAUUUUGAUACAGAUCCUGAGGAUGAAGAUGAAAUUGAUUUGCGCGAAACACCAGAACCUGCUGGUCCACCUCAAAGAAGUAUAAACAUGCUUCAGGGAUGUAGAAGUGUUGAUGAGUUUGAGAGAUUGAAUAAAAUAGAUGAAGGCACUUACGGUGUUGUAUAUAGAGCUAGGGACAAGAAAACUGGGGAAAUUGUAGCGCUGAAGAAGGUAAAGAUGGAGAAAGAACGGGAAGGUUUUCCACUGACUUCUCUCAGGGAAAUAAACAUUCUUCUUUCUUUUCAUCAUCCGUCAAUUGUUGAUGUUAAAGAAGUUGUGGUAGGGAGUAACCUUGAUAGCAUUUUUAUGGUGAUGGAGUACAUGGAACAUGACCUUAAAGGACUCAUGGAGUCUAUGAGACAGCCAUUUAGUCAGAGUGAGGUUAAAUGCUUAAUGCUCCAGUUGUUGGAAGGUACGAAGUAUCUUCAUGAUAAUUGGGUGCUUCAUCGAGAUCUGAAGACGUCAAAUCUGCUUUUGAACAAUCGUGGUGAGUUGAAGAUCUGUGACUUUGGGUUGGCUCGUCAAUAUGGGAGCCCAUUGAAACCGUAUACUCAUUUGGUAGUUACCCUGUGGUACAGGGCACCAGAACUACUUUUGGGAGCCAAACAGUAUUCUACGGCAAUUGACAUGUGGUCACUUGGCUGCAUUAUGGCUGAAUUGUUAUCAAAGGACCCUCUGUUUAAUGGCAAAACAGAAGUUGAUCAACUUGACAAGAUUUUCCGAAUCCUUGGUACACCUAAUGAGACAAUCUGGCCUGGGUUUUCCAAUUUACCUGGAGUGAAGGUCAAUUUUGUCAAGCAGCAGUAUAACCUACUCCGUAAGAAAUUUCCACCAACAUCCUUCACUGGAUCACCGGUGCUUUCUGAUUCUGGAUUUGAUUUGUUGAACAAGCUUCUAACCUAUGACCCUGAGAAGCGGAUUACUGCUGAAGCUGCUCUUAACCAUGACUGGUUUCGUGAAGUUCCUCUUCCAAAGUCUAAAGAUUUUAUGCCUACUUUUCCUGCUCAGCAUGCUCAAGACAGGCGUCUCCGAAGAAUAAUGAAGAGUCCAGAUCCUUUAGAAGAGCAGCGGAGAAAGGAGUUGCAACAAGGGGAGUUAGGGACUGGUGGUUUGUUUGGCUGAGAGAUUAGUUGGUCAACCUUGGCUCUGAAUUCUUCCAUUUUGCAUGCUACUGACACAAGAUGAGGUUGAGGUGAGAGAUAUCCAUUGAAAGGAAGUUGCGAACAUUGUUUCUGAGACGAUAAUUUGUACUUUUCUUAGCAGGCCUCUGUGGUGAUUUGGGUGAAGAAAAUAUUUGCUUCCUGCCAUCAACCAGUUAUGUGUCAGGUUAAAUCUGCUCUCCAGCUUUGUUAACAUAUAGAUGUGCCUGGGGCCCUGCUUUCAUCGCAAGGUGUGGCAUAAUGGCUUUUCAUUUUAAAAUAUCAGUUCCAGCUGAAACCAUUUGGUGUGAAGUCCUGGAGACGUUCUUAGCUUUUCAUUGAUGAAGAAAUAGGCAAUAACAUAGAAUGUCAAAGCAUGCGCGAGCAAAUAUGAAGCCUUUCAUCCUGUUUUACAUUUGAUGAUGUGAAAGAUGAAGAUUUGACCCAUCAGAAUGCUUUUAUGACAUUGUCUGUGGAUGUCACUGCAGUAUCAAAGCUAGCAGGUCGGGGAGGUUACCUGAUGUGGAUUUUAUAGAACUUUCAGUUAGUUGUCUUCAGGCUCAAUAGAGGUACAACACAAACCUCAGAUUCAUCUGAUUGAUCUCUUAAUAUUUGAUUCCUUUAGAUGUCAAUGUACUUCAGGCGAUCUUAUUCUUCACAGUUCUCCGUCGGUUUUGUUCCUGUGAUGGUAAUCUUCUGUAGGAUUUGGCACUUCUAAUCUUUAGGGCCUGCUUCUCAAUUGGGUUGGAUUUUAUUUUAUUGUUUUGACGCUGGGAGGAGGGGGGUUUUACUCUUCUGAUAAUUCCAUCCAUAUGGCAUUUAGGCAAGGACUUGGGCACAACUUUGGCAGGGUUGCAUUUUUGAUCAAUUAGCAAUGCACUUCAUCAAUUGUUUGGAAAUUCUUUCAUUUAUUACUGCAAGCUAUGUAGGGGUCCUUUUCCACUUUUAAAUCGCAUCCUGUUUAUGCUGACCCAUUUUAUAGUAAGAAAAGAUGAAAGCUCCUAUUAGGACAUUUUAUGCUUGUUACCACAUGUUGAUUUAUUCAUCUAGGACAAAUUAAGUCAGUCUGAGAUUAUAUUAGCUCUUAUAAAAUUUUAUAGAAAGAAUAUGGUGUUGUUGGACGUUAACUAUCAUGAAGAAAUUUAAUGACAUUUUAAAUCAAGUGCAAUUCUUUUGUUGGGUUUCAGUAUUUGUAUUAGACCAAAAUCCUAAACCCCUUAGCAACCCUCAAUGUUCGUGCAAUACACUUUCUACUAUCUUCAAGAUUUGGCAACUGAUAUUGUGGGACAAAGUACACAUUUACCUUCAAGUAAAAAAAUGGUAAUUAGAACUGGCAAGCUUGUUCAGAAGGUAAGGAAUCCCAGCUUAUUUGGGAUUGUGUAGUUUUUUCUUCCUUCAAGUAAAUGUUCAAGCUUCUUUUAGAUGAAUUUUUAAUAUAACUACAUUUAUGCAGAAUAAGGAUCUUUUGGGACAUCACGUAAACAAAAUUUACAUUACCUUUUAAGUGGCUGGUGAACUGUUUGCAUUUAUGCGUAUUGGUUAUGGGGUAUCUGUUGCUUAAGAAUAGCGACUGUAACCUCAACCGAUUUGUCAUCUUGGUUCACUAGUUGAAUAGCUGAUGUGGUGCUUGUCAUAUGCAUAGUUUGUUCAAAGGGUCUCCAGCUUUCAUCCUUCCUUGCGUUAUAUUCUUCUUAGUUGUUAGACGAGCUCAAGUUUAUGAAACUGAUUACUGGUUUAGCUAAUAUUCCAUGUGAAGCUUGUGAUCAAACAGGUAGAGCGUAUACUGAGCCUGUGUAUCUGUUACCUAAAGUAUUUGUUUUGGUUUUUCUGUUUGGUUGCCAAACUUUGGGUGACCUUUUGAAUCUAAGUGUUUAAAAAAACUUUCAUAGUACAAUGCAUCUUCCUGCCCAAUAAUUUCGCAUAAUGUCAACUACAAAAGUAUGUUCCUGUUGAUUUGGUUUUUAUCAUUUGUUGCGGCUGAACUCUGGUUCCUUCCACCAAUCCAUGCACACACAUAGAAAAGAGAUUCAUCCUAGGAGAGUCUUUUGCAGUCUUCUUUGCUCACUGGUGCAGUUUUGUGUUGGGAGUAACUAGUUAUAUUGUUAUCCAUGCCUAGAUGCAUGCAUAUAAUAGAUGACGCAGGCAGAAUGAAUGAUUUCAAAGCAUCCACUUCUCAUUCUGGAACUUUACCCCAAGCAACCUUACGGUACUAAUUUUUUACUUUUUAUUUGUGGGCGUCGCAUACAUUUUACUAUUGUUUGAGAUGUCACAGGCAACAAGGAUGUGAUGGUCAUCAUAAGGAUUUUCCAACCACCCAUACAAUUCUCCAAGGGGUUUGAUUUGUUACGGUGCGUUUAGCAUCUGAUGAUGCAGUUCACUCCUUUAGGGGUAUGGUUUUUUGUUUCUUUUCUAUUGCAUUUAUCUUUAUGCAAGUAAAAUUUAAAUGAUUAGAAGCAAAUUGAACUUUGCAAGAUCUCUCCAAACUAAUCGUAAACUGGAAUCUAUAUUUAGUAACUGUUUGGAAGUGAAGUGUUGGUUGUUUUAUAAAGUGUUUUAUGUAUUAAAAUAAUAUUUUUUUU